GGGCCUGUGGUCUAGUCUGGAAUAUGAUGCGGGACUUCGGAUCCCGAGAUCGGGGGUUCAAAUCCCCUCAGGUCCG
rnacentral:tRNA from 1 species